rnacentral:rRNA from 1 species
UACGUAGGGUGCGAGCGUUGUCCGGAAUUAUUGGGCGUAAAGGGCUCGUAGGCGGUUUGUCGCGUCGGGAGUGAAAACCCAGGGCUUAACCCUGGGCUGGCUUCCGAUACGGGCAGGCUAGAGGGAUGCAGGGGAGAACGGAAUUCCUGGUGUAGCGGUGAAAUGCGCAGAUAUCAGGAGGAACACCGGUGGCGAAGGCGGUUCUCUGGGCAUUACCUGACGCUGAGGAGCGAAAGUGUGGGGAGCGAACAGG